rnacentral:tRNA from 1 species
AAGGUAGUAACUCAAUUGGAAGAGUAACGGUCUCCAAAACCGCGAGUUGUGGGUUCAAAUCCUACCUACCUUG